AUUGAACGCUGGCGGCAGGCCUAACACAUGCAAGUCGAACGGUAGCACAGAGAGCUUGCUCUCGGGUGACGAGUGGCGGACGGGUGAGUAACGUCUGGGAAACUGCCCGAUGGAGGGGGAUAACUACUGGAAACGGUAGCUAAUACCGCAUAACGUCGCAAGACCAAAGUGGGGGACCUUCGGGCCUCACACCAUCGGAUGGGCCCAGAUGGGAUUAGCUAGUAGGUGGGGUAAUGGCUCACCUAGGCGACGAUCCCUAGCUGGUCUGAGAGGAUGACCAGCCACACUGGAACUGAGACACGGUCCAGACUCCUACGGGAGGCAGCAGUGGGGAAUAUUGCACAAUGGGCGCAAGCCUGAUGCAGCCAUGCCGCGUGUAUGAAGAAGGCCUUCGGGUUGUAAAGUACUUUCAGCGGGGAGGAAGGCGGUGAAGUUAAUAACUUCACCGAUUGACGUUACCCGCAGAAGAAGCACCGGCUAACUCCGUGCCAGCCGCCGCAGUAA
rnacentral:rRNA from 1 species